rnacentral:rRNA from 1 species
GACGAACGCUGGCGGCGUGCUUAACACAUGCAAGUCGAACGGUAAGGCCCUUCGGGGUACACGAGUGGCGAACGGGUGAGUAACACGUGGGUGAUCUGCCCUGCACUUCGGGAUAAGCCUGGGAAACUGGGUCUAAUACCGGAUAGGACCACUGCCUGCAUGGGUGGUGGUGGAAAGCUUUUGCGGUGUGGGAUGGGCCCGCGGCCUAUCAGCUUGUUGGUGGGGUGGUGGCCUACCAAGGCGACGACGGGUAGCCGGUCUGAGAGGGUGACCGGCCACACGGGGACUGAGAUACGGCCCAGACUCCUACGGGAGGCAGCAGUGGGGAAUAUUGCACAAUGGGCGCAAGCCUGAUGCAGCGACGCCGCGUGAGGGAUGACGGCCUUCGGGUUGUAAACCUCUUUCAGUAGGGACGAAGCGCAAGUGACGGUACCUACAGAAGAAGGACCGGCCAACUACGUGCCAGCCGCCGCAGUAA